rnacentral:rRNA from 1 species
UACGUAGGUGGCAAGCGUUGUUCGGAAUUACUGGGCGUAAAGCGCGCGUAGGCGGUGAUCUUUGUCAGAGGUGAAAGCCCGGGGCUCAACUCCGGAAUUGCCUUUGAAACGGGAUCGCUUGAGUCCGAGAGAGGAUGGCGGAAUUCCUGGUGUAGAGGUGAAAUUCGUAGAUAUUAGGAAGAACACCGGUGGCGAAGGCGGCCAUCUGGCUCGGUACUGACGCUCAGGCGCGAAAGCGUGGGGAGCAAACAGG